rnacentral:rRNA from 1 species
UACGUAGGGCGCAAGCGUUAUCCGGAAUUAUUGGGCGUAAAGAGCUCGUAGGCGGUCUGUCGCGUCUGCUGUGAAACUCAGGGCUUAACCCUGAGCUUGCAGUGGGUACGGGCAGACUAGAGUGCGGUAGGGGAGACUGGAAUUCCUGGUGUAGCGGUGAAAUGCGCAGAUAUCAGGAGGAACACCGGUGGCGAAGGCGGGUCUCUGGGCCGUAACUGACGCUGGAGG